rnacentral:misc_RNA from 1 species
GUGGCGACUUGGAGGAACUUGAGGUCUUUUCUGCUCUAAAUAGAAAUUUGAUAUUUUUGCUUUACUAGGCUCCUCUAUAAGAAUUUGUUUUAUGCUUUUAUUAUUAUUAUUAUUGGAUGUUGCAUAACUUGCAUUUACUUGUGUGCCAUAUAUCUUUUGCUAUGCUGCAUGUUUCCUGCACUCUUCAUGGUGAAGCAUGAAUAAAAGGUAGAAACUUAAGAUUCUACUGCUAGGAUUUGAGAACAAAGUUCAUUUUUCCCCUGGUUUAUAGGAGAGUUUGAUUUUGACAUACUGUUUUGAUGAGACUGUCAGUAUGCUGUUUGCACACAUGGGUGGUUUCUGCUAUUGAUAAUAAUUUUUACAGAGGAUCUGUUUCUGGUUAUUUAGGAUAACUGAAGAUUCUACUCGCUUCUGUGAAUUAUGGGUAUGACCUAAGUUGUUAUUCCAUUAGAAAUGAUAGUUUUAAUGCCCCAAAGUCGACCUAUGUAGUUUAAGGUAGGAAUAAUCCAUAUUGAAGCCUUGAAAUUUAAAGUGGAAAAAACUAUUAAGCUAUUCAAUUUUUAUUUUGAUCUAUCAAGUACUCUGUUCAAAACAGCAGAUGAGAGUUAAAUAUUUUAUUAUAAAUGAAUAAAAAUUGCAUAAGAUAGAAAAGGACUCGAUUACAUAUUGAGACGAGGAUACCAAGAAUGGAUAGAAAUGUGUUUUUCUGAAAUAUAAUCAAUUUCAUUUUAAUUUACUGCUAAUUUGAAGAUUUUAAUUUUUGAUUUUGAUAUUAUAACGAAGCAUGAUGACACUUUGUCAAGAACUCAGUAAAAAAAAAAAAAAAUCGCUUUAAAGUUGUGUGGAUUUUAUGUGGGUUAUUUAGAUGCAUCUAGAUUCAAAAUACCCACUUAACAUCAAUCGGUUGUACUGAGCUUUUUACAGUUUGCAAUGCUAUUUUGGUAUCUUCUCUGAUUCAAAGUUGCUUAAUUUUGUGGAAUAUGGCUAUUGUUUUAGCUAAGCUUGCCGAUACUUCGUAGUUGACGGUGUUGUUGUUUCUUCUGUUUUUAAGCCUGCUGAACUUG